CCAGUCUUCUGGGACCUCUCCAGUUGGCCAGGAAUGCUGAUAGAUGGUGGGAAAUGGCUUGGCCAUCACCUCCACCAGCUCCAUCAGCACCCUCAGGUGGAUCCCAAGCAUCCCAAUGGACUUGUGGCAGACCAGGUGGAGUGGACACAGACGCCCUUUGACUUUCUAUUGACUGAAGGAAGGACUGAACUUCUUGAUGACACCUAAGAGAGGGUUAAAAAGGGGUGAUUAAGAAGAUCACAACUAGAGGACAUCUGCACUUUUGUGAGCUUUGGUGUUUUUAGUAAUAAUGGUUCAUCCUGUGAUCUACAAAACAAAACUGUAAGUUCCUUUGGUUUGAUUCUACUUAGGCUCCUGGUGCUGUAGACAGUGAAUGAGGAAGAAAACAAUUACACCACACUUGAAGCUGAGUAUCUGUACAGAUCUUCUGUAUGGAUCUCAUAUUCCACACAGUGACCACCAGUCCCUUUUUCUACAGGGAUGAUGCAAUUGCACCUGGGACACCACAAGCAACUCUUUCCAACACUGAUUCUGUGCUUACCUAAAGCAAUUAAUAGUACUGACCAAUGAAUGUGGAGAAAGACAAACAAACUUCCCGAUUUUGCUGUAUUUAGGUAGUUCUCUUCACCUGAACAGAUCAGGUCUUAAAGAGGGUGUAACUGCAGUCAUAGCUUUAGAACUAUAAUCAGUAAUACUUAUAUCUCCUGUUACAGACUUUAUACCUCAGGAGAUGCGGAGGAAAAUUAUUCAUCUGCGAAACACACAGCGUGUCAUUGCAGGUGACAGUAAAGGUCUUUCACCGGAAUUACCUGUAAAAGCAAGUUUUUGUUAAUGAUUUCUAACAGGUCAUCCAAGCAUAGUUCAGUGCACUGAACUCUAGCCAGAGAAUGGAAACUAUGACAGCACAGUGCAUGAGAUUCAGUGACAACACACUGUGAACCUUACAGGAAAUUUAAGGCUGUUUUUUUGCCUAUCGGUACAUGAAAACUGAACUGAGAAGUGGAUCCAGCCAAUGAAUGAGAGGGAUCCUGAAUGCAGAAGUUCCUUUUCAAGUAUUGUUGAGUUGUGAUGAAGAUCUGAUGACAUAUUUUUAGUCAAUUUUCUUUUUAUGCAUCUAUGAUGUCUUAUUUUCCUGAAAUACAGUGGUGACUGCCAACAGCAUGGUCUGCAACAGAUGUUAAGAGAGCUUAGGGAUAGAUUCAGAUGGCUGAGUACAAUAUAAUCAUUUUACAUGAAAUAGAGUUGGCAAGCUAAAAUGGUUAUGGCUUCAAGUAUAUGCCUUUGCAGAUUAAUUGCUGGUGAUUAUACUUUUCUGAUAGCACAGACCUGGAAUGCUGAACUGUAAAAAAAUUCUUGUGUGUCCCUCUGAGGGCAGGAGUAUGCAAGUGUGUCAUCAGCACAAGUAAUGAGCAUGUAUUUGCCUAAAUCAACCCUGCAUGUGAGCUGCUGAGACACUUUCCAGAUAAAAUGCUAAAACAGAGAGUUGUCAGUCUUCACUUAACAGAGUAUGCUUUACUUCUCUGGUACAUGGGAUGCUGAGACUGAUAGCCAUCUACUUCUACCAUGAGUAAAAGCUAGUUUCACACACAUAUACAAAAACAAACAAACAAACAAACAAAAAAACGGGGG
ensembl:lncRNA